AAGUUGUAACAAGAUUUCUGUAGGUAAACCUAUAGAAGGAUUAUUACCUUCUAGCUAUUUAAUAGCUUUCUAGGGGCUGUAGUUUCUGUAGUCUUUAACUACAUCUGUGUUUUUUUGCGUACUACAUAUUUUUCUUAGCGGGCUUGCUUGCUAGUUAAAUAAACUAAAACUCUUUGCAAUUGUAAUUAGCGUCUAAAAUUAUAUAAUAAUUUACAAA
rnacentral:misc_RNA from 1 species